rnacentral:rRNA from 1 species
GGAUGAACGCUGGCGGCGUGCCUAACACAUGCAAGUCGAGCGAUCUUCUUCGGAAGAGAGCGGCGGACGGGUGAGUAACGCGUGGGUAACCUGCCCUGUACACACGGAUAACAUACCGAAAGGUAUGCUAAUACGGGAUAACAUACUUUUAUCACAUGGUAGAAGUAUCAAAGCUCCGGCGGUACAGGAUGGACCCGCGUCUGAUUAGCUAGUUGGUAAGGUAACGGCUUACCAAGGCGACGAUCAGUAGCCGACCUGAGAGGGUGAUCGGCCACAUUGGAACUGAGACACGGUCCAAACUCCUACGGGAGGCAGCAGUGGGGAAUAUUGCACAAUGGGCGAAAGCCUGAUGCAGCAACGCCGCGUGAGCGAUGAAGGCCUUCGGGUCGUAAAGCUCUGUCCUCAAGGAAGAUAAUGACGGUACUUGAGGAGGAAGCCCCGGCUAACUACG